UUUAUUUAGUUACAUUACACGGGCUCUGUCUUUAUUUAGUUACAUAACAAGGGCUCUGUCUUUAUUUAGUUACAUAACACGGGUUCUGUCUUUAUCUAGUUACAUAACACGGGCUCUGUCUUUAUUUAAUUACAUAACACGGGCUCUGUCUUUAUUUAGUUACUUAACACUGGCUCUGUCUUUAUUUAGUCACGUAACACGGGCUCUUUCUUUAUUUAGUUACAUAACACGGGCUCUGUCUUUAUUUAGGUAUGUAACACGGGCUCUGUCUUUAUUUAGUUACAUAACACGGGGUCUGUCUUUAUUUAGUUGCAUAACACGGGUUCUGUCUUUAUUUAAUGACAUAACACGAGCUCUGUCUUUAUUUAGUUACGUAACACGAGCUCUGUCUUUAUUUAGUUACAUAACACGGGCUCUGUCUUUAUUUAGUUACAUAACACGGGUUCUGUCUUUAUCUAGUUACAUAACACGGGCUCUGUCUUUAUUUAAUUACAUAACACGGGCCCUGUCUUUAUUUAGUUACAUAACACGAGCUCUGUCUUUAUUUAGUUAAAUAACACGGGCUCUGUCUUUAUUUAGUUACUUAACACUGGCUCUGUCUUUAUUUAGUCACGUAACACGGGCUCUGUCUUUAUUUAGUUACAUAGCACGAGCUCUGACUUUAUUUAGUUACAUAACACGGGUUCUGUCUUUAUUUAGUUGCAUAACACGGGUUCUGUCUUUAUUUAAUGACAUAACACGAGCUCUGUCUUUAUUUAGUUAAAUAACACGGGCUCUGUCUUUAUUUAGUUACUUAACACUAGCUCUGUCUUUAUUUAGUCACGUAACACGGGCUCUUUCUUUAUUUAGUUACAUAACACGGGCUCUGUCUUUAUUUAGUUACUUAACACUAGCUCUGUCUUUAUUUAGCCACGUAACACGGGCUCUGUCUUUAUUUAGUUACAUUACACGGGCUCUGUCUUUAUUUAGUUACAUAACAAGGGCUCUGUCUUUAUUUAGUUACAUAACACGGGCUCUGUCUUUAUUUAAUUACAUAACACGGGCUCUGUCUUUAUUUAGUUCCAUAACACGAGCUCUGUCUUUAUUUAGUUACGUAACACGAGCUCUGUCUUUAUUUAGUUACAUAACACGAGCUCUGGCUUUAUUUAGUUACAUAACACGGGUUCUGUCUUUAUCUAGUUACAUAACACGGGCUCUGUCUUUAUUUAAUUACAUAACACGGGCUCUGUCUUUAUUUAGUGACAUAACAAGGGCUCUGUCUUUAUUUAGUUACAUAACACGAGCGCUGUCUUUAUUUAGUUACAUAACACGGGCUCUGUCUUUAUUUAGUUACUUAACACUAGCUCUGUCUUUAUUUAGUCACGUAACACGGGCUCUGUCUUUAUUUAGUUACAUAACACGGGCUCUGCCUAAUAAUUUAAACGCUUGUGUUAAUUUUUACUUUGGAUACUUAAUGAUUGUUAUAUUCAAUAAAACGUUAAUCUAU